AUAUGUUCAAUAGUAAAUGAAAAGACAUGUUUUCUUACCGAUAACUUAUCGACGGGGGAAAAAAAAAACAAGAACGGGGAAAAAUAGCAAUUAGCUUCCGUUUGGGCUGUGUCUGGGGCAUCAAUCAGUCGCACAGCACAAUAUUUGUAUAAGCGCGCACACUCACCCGCAGCUAAAAAA